GAGCGGAUGACGGGAGCUUGCUCCUUGAUUCAGCGGCGGACGGGUGAGUAAUGCCUAGGAAUCUGCCUGGUAGUGGGGGACAACGUUUCGAAAGGAACGCUAAUACCGCAUACGUCCUACGGGAGAAGGCAGGGGACCUUCGGGCCUUGCGCUAUCAGAUGAGCCUAGGUCGGAUUAGCUAGUUGGUGGGGUAAUGGCUCACCAAGGCGACGAUCCGUAACUGGUCUGAGAGGAUGAUCAGUCACACUGGAACUGAGACACGGUCCAGACUCCUACGAGAGGCAGCAGUGGGGAAUAUUGGACAAUGGGCGAAAGCCUGAUCCAGCCAUGCCGCGUGUGUGAAGAAGGUCUUCGGAUUGUAAAGCACUUUAAGUUGGGAGGAAGGGCAGUAAGUUAAUACCUUGCUGUUUUGACGUUACCGACAGAAUAAGCACCGGCUAACUCUGUG
rnacentral:rRNA from 1 species